rnacentral:rRNA from 1 species
AUACGUAGGGGGCGAGCGUUGUCCGGAAUGAUUGGGCGUAAAGGGCGCGUAGGCGGCGCGGUAAGUCUGGAGUGAAAGUCCUGCUUUCAAGGAUGGAAGUGCUACAGACACUGCGGAGCUUGAGUGCAGGAGAGGUUAUCGGAAUUCCCGGUGUAGCGGUGAAAUGCGUAGAGAUCGGGAGGAACACCAGUGGCGAAGGCGGGUAACUGGACUGCAACUGACGCUGAGGCGCGAAGGUGUGGGGAGCAAACAGGAUUAGAUACCCUGGUAGUCCACACUGUAAACGAUGAAUGCUAGGUGUAGGAGGUAUCGACCCCUUCUGUGCCGCAGUAAACACAGUAAGCAUUCCGCCUGGGGAGUACGGUCGCAAGAUUAAAACUCAAAGGAAUUGACGGGG